rnacentral:rRNA from 1 species
ARACCCCGCAGGGGUUGUUAGCGUGGCAAACGGGUGAGUAACACGUGGGCGACCUACCUCAGAGUGGGGGAUAACCUUCCGAAAGGAAGGCUAAUACCGCAUGACAUCCCAUGUUUGGAUACAUGGACAUCAAAGCCGGGGAUCGCAAGACCUGGCGCUUGGAGAGGGGCCCGCGUCCGAUUAGCUAGUUGGUGAGGUAACGGCUCACCAAGGCUCCGAUCGGUAUCCGGCCUGAGAGGGCGGACGGACACACUGGGACUGAGACACGGCCCAGACUCCUACGGGAGGCAGCAGUGGGGAAUUGUUCGCAAUGGGCGAAAGCCUGACGACGCAACGCCGCGUGGAGGAUGAAGACCUUCGGGUCGUAAACUCCUUUCGACCGAGAUGAACAUCCCACGAUCUAAUAACUUGUGGGACUGACAGUAUCGAGGGAAGCAGCCCCGGCUAACUCUGUGCCAGCAGCCGCGGUAAUACAGGGGGGGCAAGCGUUGUUCGGAAUUACUGGGCGUAAAGGGUUCGUAGGUGGCCAACUUAGUCAGACGUGAAAUCCCUCAGCUUAACUGGGAACUGCGUCUGAUACUGGAUGGCUUGAGUGCAGGAGAGGAACGCGAAUUCCAGGUGUACCGGUGAAAUGCGUANAUAUCUGAAGAACCACCG